rnacentral:rRNA from 1 species
UGAACGCUGGCGGUAGGCCUAACACAUGCAAGUCGAACGGCAGCACAGUAAGAGCUUGCUCUUACGGGUGGCGAGUGGCGGACGGGUGAGGAACACAUCGGAAUCUACUUUUUCGUGGGGGAUAACGUAGGGAAACUUACGCUAAUACCGCAUACGACCUACGGGUGAAAGCAGGGGAUCUUCGGACCUUGCGCGAUUGAAUGAGCCGAUGUCGGAUUAGCUAGUUGGCGGGGUAAAGGCCCACCAAGGCGACGAUCCGUAGCUGGUCUGAGAGGAUGAUCAGCCACACUGGAACUGAGACACGGUCCAGACUCCUACGGGAGGCAGCAGUGGGGAAUAUUGGACAAUGGGCGCAAGCCUGAUCCAGCCAUACCGCGUGGGUGAAGAAGGCCUUCGGGUUGUAAAGCCCUUUUGUUGGGAAAGAAAAGCAGCAGGUUAAUACCCCGCUGUUCUGACGGUACCCAAAGAAUAAGCACCGGCUAACUUCGUG